GGUUAAGCGACUAAGCGUACACGGUGGAUGCCCUGGCAGUCAGAGGCGAUGAAGGGCGUGCUAAUCUGCGAUAAGCGCCGGUAAGGUGAUAUGAACCGUUAUAACCGGCGAUACCCGAAUGGGGAAACCCAGUGUGAYUCGUCACACUAUCAUUAACUGAAUCCAUAGGUUAAUGAGGCGAACCGGGGGAACUGAAACAUCUAAGUACCCCGAGGAAAAGAAAUCAACCGAGAUUCCCCCAGUAGCGGCGAGCGAACGGGGAGGAGCCCAGAGCCUGAAUCAGCAUGUGUGUUAGUGGAAGCGUCUGGAAAGGCGCGCGAUACAGGGUGACAGCCCCGUACACAAAAGCGCAUGUGCUGUGAGCUCGAUGAGUAGGGCGGGACACGUGGUA
rnacentral:rRNA from 1 species